GGUGGUCUAGAGCCACAGCUGAUAACUGGCAAGAUCAAUGGGAUUUUAAACUCGGGGCAACGCCCAGCAAUUACCUGAAGACAAAGGGUUGGCGCCCCCAGGUGUGGAGGCCUGGACUUGGGGGGCCUGGGAAGGAAGUGUGUUGGGGAGGGGCAGGUCUUACAAUCCCUCUGAUUUCCGAAGGAAUUUGAGACAUUCUUUAAAACUCUAGACCGCCUCCCCCUGCCAGGCUCCCAGACCCACCCCCACCUUCCCUGGCUUGGGUUAGAGACGGCUUCAAAGGUGGACGGGCCCUUUGUCUGGCCUUUGCUUUCUUCUCUGCCUUUCUCGGCCCUCCCUCCCUCCCUCUCUGACCUCCCCAGCACAGACAGGCCUCUGGGGGCCCGCUCCAGAAAGCCCUCACUGUUUCCUUGCUUGCUUUUUGAGGUGAGACCUGGCCGAGAGGGACAAACUGGGGGACGGUGAGGGAGCACGGCAGCUUGGAGGCUUAUGCCAUCUCAGGGUGCCCGCGCCCCACCCCAAGCCUGGCAGGUCUCAGGCCUGCGUGUGGCCUUGGGUCCCUGGCUCACCGCACCAUUUAGUGCCUCUGCAGAGACCGGCUCUUUCCCGGGUGCCUCUGCAUACGGGGCGGCGGGGGUGGGGGGUGGGGGUGUCUGUUCAGCUCAUUCCCUCUGAGCUGGCCAUUUCCAAGAUGCUCACAGGAAGAGGUGGGAAGAGUGGGUCUCUAAUCAAGGGCCCUCGGAGGGGUGGGGGGUGUAAAGCAUGAACGUGGGGUAGGAGGGAGGCUUCCCCUGGCCUCGGCCAGCCCGCUGCUGGCUCCAGCACCCUGCUUGCUUCUGUGUGCCCGAAGAUCCUCAGCCAGUGUGGGGAUGGGGGGAGGGGGACUUAGGGCAAGAAGAACCUGUCCGUGUCAGGGAGGAGGUGACAGGCGGAGGGAGGUGGCAGCGGCGUGCCUCAGGUCCUGUGCCCGUUUGGGAUCACCAAGACUGAGCUAAGAAUAGCUUCUAUAUUGAUCUCUCCUCCUUGUCCUGUCCUCCAAAAGGCCAGAUGAGGCAGAGAGGGGCCGAAGCAGGAAGUCAGAGGUGGAGUCCACGCUUGUUAGUGGUUGCAAACUGGCUUCUACUCAUGUCAUUCCGUUCGGCCCCGCCCCUGAGACCCCCAUGGCGGCAGCUUCCCAGUCACCAAGCCAAAAAGCCUGCCUCGGACCUGGUGUCCUCAGCCUCACGGGCCCGCCGCGCGAGGACCACCCUUUGUGACGCUCUUUCCUCGCUCAGCCUGCCAGCGCUGUCCUGCCUUCGCCCUCUCCGCCUCCCCUGCUCCGACCUUCUCGCUCCUGCCUCCUCUUCAUAGGGGCAUACUCUCCUGCUCUCCCUGCUGUCCCUCUGAGCCGUCUGGUCUCAGCUCUCACCCCCUCGCCACGACUGCUUCCUCGGGAACACCGUUGCCAGCCCUCACCGGGUGCCUCAACCGCUGCACAGCUUCUAAAUGGUCUCUCUGCCUCCUGACGCACCACCCACCCCUGCUCCACGAUGUCCGUUUCUUCAGCCUGCCUCACCUACCGCACACCCAGAUCCUGUCACACGGUCGGUCGCUAGCAAGCACAUGGCUUUCCUGGCUCCUGCUCAGUCCUGAGAAGGCCCUUCCCAGCUCCAGCCCUACAGCUCCUCUUCAAGACGCUGGCAAACUGCGGUCCUGGCCACUCAGCAAGCGCGCGUGUCCAUCUCUGUUCAUGACGUUCCCACGGCCUAGCAUGCCCUCCGGACCGUAGUCGCCCUGCCUGCCCCGUGACUUCCCCGCUCUCCGGGGGCAGCAGCGGUGUCCACUGUGCUGGUCUCCUGGGCUGCACCGCCCUUGCCCUCUGGCACAUAUCACAGCUGGUCCAGACUGUACUAUUGAUGCUUGUGCCAUGGAUCUGCUGGGUAGCAAGUGCUGCAGAUGUGGAAAUAGCCUGUCUGUGCCCCCUCCCCCGUCCUCAGCACAGUACAUUAUGCAGAAUAAGGAUUUAUUGAGGCAAUAAGCCAUCAGAAGGCCGAAAGGCAUCCGGCAUAGUGUAGUCCCUCCCAGUGGGGGCAGGAUGAGAAGCCAGAAUCCAGCCUUUACCCUCCAUCCUUAGGUGUAGUUGGGUGGGGACGGGCCCUAAGCAGUUCAUCCAAGGAAUUAUCCAUUCCCUGUACUGUACAGCACUGUGCUCGCCCCUCAGUUAAUUAAAAAGAUGGACAAGAUUGCAUCCUCCCCAGUCAAGCAGUUUGGUGGUGGUGGUGGGGGGUAAAUCCGUGAAGAGGCAGUUCUCCCUGGGGCUUCUGGAACUCUCCUACAGCUAAGAGAGCAAAGCAGCAUCUGGCACCUCCCCAGAGAGUGAAGGAGGAGAGGGGAGCUGUGGGAAGUGAGGACCUGAUGUGUGCAGUGCUCUGGCGAUGGCCAGGCAGCAUGCAAGGCUGGCUCCCAUGGAGCCCCUUCUUUAGAGGAUAAGAUUAUUCCCGUGUCAUGAGUGAGCGAGUGCAAACGCAGACAUGUGAAAUCAGCCACGGUCACACCAGUGAGCCCUACAAUCUAGAUCCUCCUGCCCGCAACAGGAGUAUGCUCAGUGGGAGGUUCUCCGCUCCCCACCCACGCACGAUGGGUUCUUAGGGGGAGAGUGAGGCAGUUGGGAAGUGCUGGGGUUUGCCAUGAUCUUUCAGAACAAGCAGGAUUUCAGCCAGCAGGGACGGCACACAAGGGGAAAACUGAGUGAAAACAGCAUGAGAAGAAGGCCUUGAGGCGGGAAAAUAUGAGGUGUGCUCAGGGGGAGGUGAGAGUGGAUCUGCGUGUGCUCAGGGGGAGGUGAGAGUGGAUCUGAGUGUGCUCAGGGGGAGGUGAGAGUGGAUCUGAGUGUGCUCAGGGGGAGGUGAGAGUGGAUCUGAGUGUGCUCAGGGGGAGGUGAGAGUGGAUCUGAGUGUGCUCAGGGGAAACUGAGCAGUGAUCUGAGUGUGCUCAGGGGAAGGUGAGCAGUGAUCUGAGUGUGCUCAGGGGGGUAAGAAUGGAUCUGAGUGUGCUCAGGGGGAGGUGAGAGUGGAUCUGAGUGUGCUCAGGGGAAACUGAGCAGUGAUCUGAGUGUGCUCAGGGGGAGGUGAGCAGUGAUCUGAGUGU